UGGUUUGUGGAUGUCUGCACUAGAG
rnacentral:misc_RNA from 1 species